UACGUAGGCAGCAAGCGUUGUUCGGAGUUACUGGGCGUAAAGGGUGCGUAGGCGGCUCUAUAAGUAUGGUGUGAAAUCUCCCGGCUUAACUGGGAGGGUGCGCUAUAGACUGUGGGGCUAGAGUGCGGGAGAGGAAAGUGGAAUUCCUGGUGUAGCGGUCAAAUGCGUAGAUAUCAGGAGGAACACCGGUGGUGUAAACGGCUUUCUGGACCGUAACUGACGCUGAUGCACGAAAGCGUGGGUAGCAAACAGG
rnacentral:rRNA from 1 species